rnacentral:rRNA from 1 species
GAUAAACGCUGGCGGCGCACAUAAGACAUGCAAGUCGAACGGACUUAAUCGAAAUAUUUAUAUUUUGAAGCGGUUAGUGGCGGACUGGUGAGUAACGCGUAAGGAACCUGCCUAUUAGAGGGGAAUAACAGUGAGAAAUCAUUGCUAAUACCGCAUAUGCCAUAGAUAUCACAUGAUAACAGUGGGAAAGGAGCAAUCCGCUAAUAGAUGGCCUUGCGUCUGAUUAGAUAGUUGGUGGGGUAACGGCCUACCAAGUCGACGAUCAGUAGCCGGACUGAGAGGUUGAACGGCCACAUUGGGACUGAGAUACGGCCCAGACUCCUACGGGAGGCAGCAGUCGGGAAUAUUGCGCAAUGGAGGAAACUCUGACGCAGUGACGCCGCGUAUAGGAAGAAGGUUUUCGGAUUGUAAACUAUUGUCGUUAGGGAAGAGAAAGGACAGUACCUAAGGAGGAAGCUCCGGCGUAACUACGUG